UACGAAGGGGGCUAGCGUUGUUCGGAAUUACUGGGCGUAAAGCGCACGUAGGCGGACAUUUAAGUCAGGGGUGAAAUCCCGGAGCUCAACUCCGGAACUGCCUUUGAUACUGGCGAUCUCGAGUCCGGGAGAGGUGAGUGGAACUGCGAGUGUAGAGGUGAAAUUCGUAGAUAUUCGCAAGAACACCAGUGGCGAAGGCGGCUCACUGGCCCGGUACUGACGCUGAGGUGCGAAAGCGUGGGGAGCAAACAGG
rnacentral:rRNA from 1 species